rnacentral:lncRNA from 1 species
GGCGUUACAUUCUACCGGCUCAUAGAGAUUUUCUACACCCACUUACAGAUAAAAUAAAUUAUACUAUGAAUAUUUAAUUUGCAUAGUAUUCUUCUAAUAUUUGUUAUUGACAGGGUGUAUUUGACAUCAUUGAUUUUGAGGAGGAUCGUGUGAGGUGAGCCGUCGACACUCAUCUAUCCUUGUGUUUCAAAGAUUAUCGCCAUCACAUGCAUCAGCAUUGGUACCGAAUGGUGCAGGAUCAUGGGGAGGAGGCAGCGCAACAGUAGCCCUAUGACAGCAUCACCAUGGAUGAUUGGACUGCCAUAUGCUGGCAUUACGAGGAUCCAGCAUAUUAAGUUACACAUCUAAACUUCUUUUUUUUUUAGAGUUUAAUGACUAAAUCAUUUAUUCUUAAAUUAAAUUUAUUAUCUACUAAUUUGACUGGUAACUUUAUAGAGCUGAUGUGCCCAGAACGUCGUGAAUCAGGCGAGACAGACUGUAUCGCAUUAUGGGGCUUCG